GACGAACCGUGCGAACGUUGUUCGGAAUCACUGGGCUUAAAGGGCGCGUAGGCGGCUUGCCAAGUCAGUGGUGAAAGUCCCACAGCUUAACUGUGGAAGUGCCUUUGAUACUGGCGAGCUCGAGGGAGGUAGGGGUAUGUGGAACUUCUGGUGGAGCGGUGAAAUGCGUUGAUAUCAGAAGGAACGCCGGUGGCGAAAGCGACGUACUGGACCUCUCUGACGCUGAGGCGCGAAAGCUAGGGGGAGCAAACGGG
rnacentral:rRNA from 1 species